UACGUAGGUGGCAAGCGUUGUCCGGAUUUACUGGGCGUAAAGAGCGCGCAGGCGGUCGAUCAAGUCGAGUGUGAAAGCCCCCGGCUCAACUGGGGAGGGUCAUUCGAAACUGGUCGACUCGAAGGCAGGAGAGGGUAGUGGAAUUCCCGGUGUAGUGGUGAAAUGCGUAGAUAUCGGGAGGAACACCAGUGGCGAAGGCGACUACCUGGCCUGUUCUUGACGCUGAGGCGCGAAAGCUAGGGGAGCAAACGGG
rnacentral:rRNA from 1 species